rnacentral:rRNA from 1 species
CUACGGGGGGCAGCAGUGAGGAAUAUUGCACAAUGGGGGAAACCCUGAUGCAGCAACGCCGCGUGGAGGAUGACGCAUUUCGGUGUGUAAACUCCUUUUAUGAGUCAAGAAAAUGACGGUAGCUCAUGAAUAAGCACCGGCUAACUCCGUGCCAGCAGCCGCGGUAAUACGGAGGGUGCAAGCGUUACUCGGAAUCACUGGGCGUAAAGGACGCGUAGGCGGGCUUGUAAGUCAGGUGUGAAAUCCUACAGCUUAACUGUAGAACUGCACUUGAAACUACGAGCCUAGAGUAUGGGAGGGGCAGAUGGAAUUAGUGGUGUAGGGGUAAAAUCCGUAGAUAUCACUAGGAAUACCGAAAGCGAAGGCGAUCUGCUGGAACAUUACUGACGCUAAGGCGUGAAAGCGUGGGGAGCAAACGGGAUUAGAUACCCGAGUAGUC